AAGUGAACGCCGCAUUGUUCCUGUUUCCUAGUGUUACUUUUAUGAGACUAUACGCAAGGUGAUCCAAACUAGCGCGCUUCUUGGUAGUUUUUGUCCGAAGGGUUUGGAAAUGGAUUUUCUUCUUUGAUCUUUUUGGAUGAAUGUACAUGGGAGCGGCUGCAAGCUGAAAUUGUAGUGUUGUGGGUUGAGGUCGCAGGUUAGUCGAAAGAGAGAGAAUUGAGGUUUCUCUCUUCUUACUGUGCCAGUAGUAAGCAAUGUUUCAUUCCUGGGUUGACCCAAGCAAAAAACGGCGACUUGUUGUUGUGUUAUGCGGAAAUGCUUCUGGCAGAGAAAGGCCGGUCGGGGGUGAUGGCAUGCGGUACCCCUUUCCUGAUCUUGCUUCUUCUGGUUUCCUUGAGGCCCGGACGCUUAGGAAUCCAACGAUAGAUCAGUUCCAGGAUGUUCUGAGUGCAGAAUGUCCAGACAUUCUGUACUUUCAGGGACAGCAACUUGAGAGUGAAGAAGAAAUUGGUUCUCUCAUGUGGGGAACCACAGAUGUUACCGACACUGAAUUUUUCGUUUCUCUGAUUAUUCCUCCGUUACCCUCUAUUGUUUACCUUGAGGCACCAAACAGUGAACAAAUUGCAGAGGCAUUGCGUGUGAAGGGUGUUCCUUGUGUAAUUUACUGGAAUAAUUCACCCACAAUCACAACUUAUGCAGCAUGCCAUUUCCGCCAAGCCUUAUUUUCAGUUUUGCAGUGUACAAGCGGCCAUGCAUGGGAUGCAUUUCAGUUCGCACAUGCAUCUUUCCGUCUCUAUUGCUCAAAAAACAAAUGUAUAAUGUCUGCAAGCUGCCUGCAAGUUGAUAGGAAAUUUUUCCCUUGUUUCAUUGGAGAUGCUCCGAAGAUUAAUGUGAAUCAACUUGAGAAAUCUAUUUAUGGUGGAGAAUCUUCUGUAACUUCUCUUCCUAAUAUAAAAAUACAUGAUGAGUAUGUGAAUGUAAAAUUUCUGGUCUGUGGCAUGCCUUGUAUCUUGGAUGCAUGUUUACUGGGCUCUUUGGAAGAUGGUCUUAGCGCUCUCUUGAAUACUGAAAUUCGUGGGAGUAAACUUCAUAACAAAGUCAGUGCCUCAUCGCAUCUGUGUCGGACUGCAACAUCUCAUGGAGAUUAUAAAAUGAGAUGUGACAUCAUAACUUGCAGUUCUGCUUUCAUCUCACUUUUGGUGUCUGGUAGUUUGCAGACUUGUGUUGAUGAUCAGCUCGUGGAAAAUCUCAUAAAGAAUGAACUCAUUGAUAAAAGGCAGCUAGUCCAUGCUCAGCCAUGCUGCGAGGAAAACAAGCUUUCUUUGAGCCAACCUCUAAGUACUGAUUGCAUAGCUGCAGGAGCAUCUGUCUUUGAAGUUUGCAUGAAAAUUCCGUGCUGGGCUCUCCAGAUUCUAAAGCAUCUUGCGAGUGAUUUCUCUUGCCGUAGCCUUGUCACACUUGGCAUUGCAAGCAUACAUGGCAUUGCAGUUGCUUCCUUUGAAAAAGAAGAUGCAGAGCGCCUAAUUUUCUUUUUUGCUAGUGAAGGGAAAGAAUAUGCUAAGGAAGAUGCUUUCCUCUCUGGUCUCCCUAUUUCAUCUUCAAUCACCAGUAGUAAAUUAAGUGCUAGACCUGAAAUUCUUAUUGAUGGAAAUUGGAAAUAUUGCCAUAGUCUAUAUUGGAAUGCUAGAAAGAAGCAAAAGCAGAUGACAAAAGGGACUCAUAUGCAGGGACUAAAGGUCGCUGCUAUGAGGCCUAUUCCACGAUCUCGGAGGCAGAAAAAUAUUUAUUUUGAUGUUGCAUAUGCUGGAAAUCUGGCAAAUCUUGAGGAACAAACUGCAGCCUCUAGAAAACGAAAAAACAUGUCAUCAGCUUCUCCAAGAUACGGGAUUUUUUCACGUGAUAGGGACCAAUCCAAACCCAGGGAGCAUUCUGCAUCCUCUAGAAAACAUAAUUCAUCAAUCCGUGGAUGCUCUAUAUCAAAACCCACCUCUUCAAUGCAAAUAAGUUCCACAACAAAAUCGGCUUCUUUUGUUAACGAGCAUUCAACUUCCAUUCACAGAUUAGCUUAUUCUAUUAAAAGAAGGUCGGAGGCUAAAUCAGACCUUGCAAAGCAGAGAAUUUCUUCAAACCCGAUACCUCUGAAGAGACAUGAGUGCAAUCGGUGCUCAAUUCAUGACUGCUCAGAAGAAGAAUUUCUGAAGGAUUUGGUGCACUUUCUUAUCCUGAGGGGACACCAACGGCUGGUUCCUCCAGGAGGUCUUUCUGAUUUUCCUGGUGCUGUACUUAACACAAAGCGCUUAGACUUGUUUUGUCUUUAUAAAGAGGUGGUUACCAGGGGAGGCUAUUACGUUGGAAAUGGCAUUAAUUGGAGAGGUCAGGUUUUCUCUAAAAUGAGCAACCAUUCAGCCAAUAAUAAAAUGACUGGAAUCACAUAUGCCUUAAAAAGACAUUAUGAAACUUAUCUGCUGGAGUAUGAGUUAGCUCAUAAUGAUGUAACUAUCGAUCAGUGUGUUUUGUGUCACAGUGGCACCACUUCCGGCGAUUGGUUGAGCUGUGGAAGGUGCAGCAAAUGGGUUCAUUUAGGUUGUGAUAAAAGAUCUCUUGCUGCUUUCAAGGAUUAUUCGAAGACAGAUGGAAUUGAGUACAUCUGCCCGCACUGUGGCUGAAUAUGCACAAGAUAGGACGCAAUGACAUGAUUUUAUCUUCUCCUUUUCAAUGUUUAUAAAGAGGGGCUUCCACUUCAUAGUGCCACAUGAGGAUCAGAAAUCAGGCUUGCUUGGGCAAUUUCCAUGUUGAAUUGUGAAUGUCUUUGGUGGUUCCCUUUGAAGAAGUUUCUUCCAGACUUUUGACGUCAGUUUUGACAGGACACUAAGGAGAAAAGCAUAUAUUUACUUGUAGUUAAUUUUUAUUUCUGUUUAGUUUUCAUUGUCUUUCGUACUAUAUAGAAGCAUGUGCCCAGUUCCAAAUGAAAACAGGUAAACUUUGAAGGUGGGAAAUAGAUGUAUUCUUUCAGCAUAAGAAGACAA